AACGAACGCUGGCGGCAGGCUUAACACAUGCAAGUCGAGCGCCCCGCAAGGGGAGCGGCAGACGGGUGAGUAACGCGUGGGAAUCUACCCAUCCCUACGGAAUAGCUCCGGGAAACUGGAAUUAAUACCGUAUACGCCCUACGGGGGAAAGAUUUAUCGGGGAUGGAUGAGCCCGCGUUGGAUUAGCUAGUUGGUGGGGUAAAGGCCUACCAAGGCGACGACCCAUAGCUGGUCUGAGAGGAUGAUCAGCCACAUUGGGACUGAGACACGGCCCAAACUCCUAGCGGUGGCAGCAGUGGUGAAUAUUGACCAAUGGGGGCAACCCUGAUCCAGCCAUGCCGCGUGAGUGAUGAAGGCCUUAGGGUUGUAAAGCUCUUUCACCGGGGAAGAUAAUGACGGUACCCGGAGAAGAAGCCCCGGCUAACUGCGUGCCAGCCGCCGCAGUAA
rnacentral:rRNA from 1 species